rnacentral:rRNA from 1 species
GUGAGGAAUAUUGCGCAAUGGGGGCAACCCUGACGCAGCAACGCCGCGUGAGUGAGGAAGGUUUUCGGAUUGUAAAGCUCUGUCGAGUGGAAAGAAAUGCAUUAUGGCUAAUAUCCAUAGUGCUUGACGGUACCGCUAAAGGAAGCACCGGCUAACUCCGUGCCAGCAGCCGCGGUAAUACGGGGGGUGCAAGCGUUGUUCGGAAUCAUUGGGCGUAAAGAGCGUGUAGGCGGCUAGACAAGUCAGAUGUGAAAUCCCUGGGCUUAACCCAGGAAGUGCAUUUGAAACUGUCCUGCUUGAGUAAGGGAGAGGAAAGUGGAAUUCCUGGUGUAGAGGUGAAAUUCGUAGAUAUCAGGAGGAACACCGGUGGCGAAGGCGACUUUCUGGCCCUAUACUGACGCUGAGACGCGAAAGCGUGGGUAGCAAACAGGAUUAGAUACCCCAGUAGUCC